GUACUUUAGAACAGUACAAGUUUGUGGAGACUUUUCUCAAUAUGCAGUUGCAGUGCCAAGUCAACAAGAUGCCUUGAUGUAUAGAUGAAAAUGGGCAGAAACAGGAAAUCUGAAAUGAUUCCUUGGUUAAUUUGGUGUUAAAGCUGUUAAUGGUGGUGAUGUCUGGUGUGCAGUGGUGUGGGAGUCAUUUUCUGAUUGAGAGAUGCACUGAUAUGGAGCUUCUGCAGAUUUGUAGUUCAACACAAAACUUCAAUAUACCAUGUUGGUGUCGAUGCAGUGUUGGGCUGUUGUGUAAAAUAGCUGGUGUUGCCUGAUGGCUUUCUGGCAUUUUGUUGGUGCAUUCUUCUGCUACCUGUAUCCAUGUUGAGUUAAACUGGAUGCCGCUGUUUCAGACUUGAUCCACUGGUGAAGCUGAGAAGUUUUACUGUAAUUCAAGACUGAGAAAUUAUUCAGAUUUAGACAAAUUAAAAAUGCAAAUCUUUUGUCCCUUUUUAGUUGUGUGAUUAUCAGGAAUGUUAUGGUGGAAUGUGGAAUUGCAAUUAGAUUUUACAUUUUCUAUGAGAACGAAAAGUCAAACCAAAUACUGAAAUGAUCCAAUUAACAUUUCAGCCUCCAUAACAAUUCUUAAACGUACCGCUUUUAAUCACUAACAUAAGAACAUGUUCUUGACAUAAGAACAUGUUCUUGACAUAAGCACAUGUUCUUGACAUAAGCACAUGUUCUUGACAUAAGAACAUGUUCUUGACAUAGAAGCACAUGUGCUUGACAGAAGCAAACAAUUCUUAAAUGUACCGCUUUUAAUCACUAACAUAAGAACAUGUUCUUGACAUACAAGCCCAUGUUCUUGACAUACAAGCCCAUGUUCUUGACAUACAAGCACAUGUUCUUGACAUACAAGCACAUGUUCUUGACAUAAGAAAACAAUUCUUAAACGUACCGCUGUUAAUCACUAACAUAAGAACAUGUUCUUGACA
rnacentral:lncRNA from 1 species